UUUGCUAGGUAAGCCUGAGGCCCUGAGUUUGAGUCCCCAGCACCCAUAUAAAAGCCUGGCAUGGAGGCCUGUGCUUGUAACCCAAUACUCAGGGGAACAGAGACAGGAGGAUGUUAGAGCUUGCUGACCAGCCAGUCUAGUCAAAAUGGUGACUUCCAGGUUCUUCGUCUCAGGAGAUAAGAUGGAGGCAGACACCUAACACUGACCUACAGCUUCCACAGCUAAGCUGGCCUGCAUUAGCCAGGGAGGGGAGAUGAAGGAAAGAAAAGAAGGAAAUCAAAAAGGAAGAGAAAGCAGGCAGGCCAGAUUUUAAGUCCAAUGUCUUAUGAGAGUCAAAACAUGUAAAAUUGCUCUGCCAAGGGACUACAAACCAUGGUGAAAACCCAGAACUUCUUCUCCCAUUCUGUACUGAUUUGGCCACAGGUACAACAAGCAGUUUGUUCCCAUGUCACUCACAGAGCAGUAAAUCCAUAGACACCCCAGCCUCUAUCUCUGCUCAGAAUGUCCUGUCUCCAUAGCUCUGCAAGUGUAUGUUCCUCCUCUAGAGCUUACUCAAUACUAAUUGACUGGGGCUGAGGAGAUGGCUUCCUACUUAAGAGCAAUGGCUGUUCUUGCAUAGUACCUCACAAUCAUCUGUAACUUCAAUUUCAGGGGAUCCAAUACCCUCUAUUGGCCUCCACAGUACCUAUGUGAUGCUCAGACACAUAUGCAUGCAAACACCCAUACACAUAAAAUAAAAAAAUCUAAAAAGGAAAAAAAAUAGGCCUAGACUUUGGGUUGAUCUCAUGACCAAGCAUCCCAUUAUAAAUGCACUCCCAGAGGCAUUAUAACAAAUUACAUAAGGCAGGGCCACGAGGGGAGACCUCCCAAAUAAGGAUGUGGCCCCAAGCCAAGGGUCAGCUGCAACCUGGCUCUUCAGGAGCCAGAAAACUGAUCUUAUCCGUGCACACGCUAUCAGUUAGAGUUCAGGGCUGCCUGGAGGGAACAUAGGGUGUCUUUGGACACACUUUGGAGUUUAGCCACUUUGUCACCCAAAAGGGAGGCAUGUACAGAGAGGAUGAUAUCAAGUUACAAAGUACAGAUCAGAGGAAGAGCUCUCCAUGUUCCAUCAUACAGAAGGGUGAUUGUGGGAGUCAAUAGCUAAAUGUCUAUUUCAAAAUAUUUUACCAGAGAAGAAUUUGAGUGGUCCCAUCACUAGAAGCUGGACUUAUAGUAUUAUAUUUAUAAUAUAUAACAUGUUAUAUAUCUCUCAUAUAUACACCCCACAUGUAUCUUUCUGCUGGGGAUGUGCCCAAUGGUGGAAUAUUUGCCUAGUGUGUAGGAAGCCUUGAGAUUCUUCCCCAGUACUUC
rnacentral:lncRNA from 1 species